rnacentral:lncRNA from 1 species
AAAAAAAUGGGAUAAUAUAAGCAACUGGUAAAAAUAUAUAUAUGCAUGUAAAAAUGAUGAGAAAUAGUGAAGAAUACUGAGGUAAACAGCUACAUUACUAUCAUCAUAUUAGAAUUAUAACCUAUAAAUAAGCCACUACAUUUGGCUUUGAUGGGUUGUACCAUGUGCUUGGGGUGUGUUUCAAAAAAAAAAAUUGUCCACCGACGUGUCCCACUGCCUCUCAUAUACCAUCUCUGCUUAAACAAUCAGGCCCACAACUCUCACUAAACCAACUCUGCUGCUUGGAAAAACCCCUCCAACAACGUCACCAAUCAACGCCAAAUCGGAGUUUUAGGUGACGAAGCGUAGAUCGGGUUCCGUCGACAGAGAGACGGUGGUGUGUCACGCAACCACCGAUGAGGGCAAGCUAGGGUGAGGAUUUCCUUUUUCCCAUUAUAAUCACUUGUGGCUUUCUCUCUGUCUAGAAUAUACGGGUAGAUAGAAGGACGUGUGAGACUAGGGUUGACGGUGGUUGUGGUAGGCGAAGAAGCAAGAUUGACCACCGGCGGAGAAGAGACCCUGCCAGUGGUGACGGUGGUGGUUGCUCCGGGAAAGCAGAAGAUUAAGAACAGAAUCACAACGAUGAUGAGUUUGAGUUGCAAAGAAGGCGCCAUUAACGGAGAAUCGAGAGGCGUAGAGUGAAUGAUGGUGAAAAAAACGAUGGUUGUUGGAGUUGUUAUUUCAACGGAAACUGUAUGAGUUGCCAUGGAGUUUCCGGCCGUUGGCGGUGUCAGUUUAUCAUUGCUGCCAACUUUGCCGUAGAGGCUUCGCUGGAGACUCACAGAAACAAAGGCGUUUCCGUCAAUUGUUGAAGAAGUAGAAGGUGACCUUUGUGAUGCACAUAAAUUUCAGCCUCACUAUGUAGCUGUUGAUUAUUGGUGAUUUUGACGUCACUAUGGAACUGUUGAUUAUUGGUCAUCUUACUCUACCAGAAGAUUUGGCAUUUGAAUUUUGAUACAGCUUCCUUCAAGUAUUUGUUUGUUUGUUGAUUUGGUGUUGAAUCAUGUGUUUCAUUCCUUUAGGUUUACCAUUGACGGCUGUUCCGUUCUGGUGCUGUUCGAAUUGGGGAUUUUACUCUACAGGCUGUCUCUUAGUCGAUUUGUGAUUCCAUCUUAACUUACCAGGCUGUGGCUGUGAGGACACUGUAAAUGUUUGGGCACCGCCAACAACAGGGUGGUGCUUGCUGGUGACUAAAUAUCCAACAAUCUCUGUUCAGCUUUGUGUAGCCAUAAUUACAAAAGGGAAUACAGUGAUGCUGGCCUUAUUUGUCUUUGUUAUGUAACUUUUGUAUCCUCCUAUGAAGUUAGGAGUAAACUAUAUAGGUGUGAUGGUGCAAAGGCACCUUAGGUGGUCCUAGCAUAUUAUUCCCAAGAGGCUGUGAAAUGAGUAUACAUUUAUA